UGUACCUACGGGACGCAGCAGUAGGGAAUCUUCCACAAUGGGCGAAAGUCUGAUGGAGCAACGCCGCGUGAGUGAAGAAGGGUUUCGGCUCGUAAAGCUCUGUUGGUAGUGAAGGAAGAUGGAGGUAGUAACUGGGCUUUAUUUGACGGGAAUUACUUAGAAAGUCACGGCUAACUACGUGCCAGCAGCCGCGGUAAUACGUAGGUGGCAAGGGUUGUCCGGAUUUAUUGGGCGUAAAGCGAGUGCAGGCGGUUCAAUAA
rnacentral:rRNA from 1 species